CGCCAUCAAAAGCAAAUUAAAUAUUUAAAAAAAAAUUUAAUAUGCCGCAGCCAGUACCGUCGCUGCGUUUUCAGUCAAAACUAUAGGGAAAACGCAGUUCGAAAUGCAAAAAGUGGCAUUUUUAAGGAAAAGACGCUUUCGAGCUUCAUAUCUGGACAAAAUUUUUCAACAAUAACAGUAAGUGAUCUUUUCUAUUCACAUAAGAAGUACGAUUGAGCUUUUGAAAAACUUUUAUUUGAUUUUGAAAGUUGAAGGAGCGGUCGGCCCACAGAUUGUGAUAUCCUAUAAAGCGAACAAAACUAUUUGCCGG